GAAUGUGACGUCAUCUGAUACGACAUUGCAUUCAUCAGCGUCGAAACUCAUACAGUUUUACAAGUUUCUGUGAAUAAAAAAAGUAAUUUAAACGUGUAUUCUUGUGCGAAGUUUAAUUUAGAUUUGUAGUGAAUUUAGGACGAUGACUGAAGCUGGUUUUGGGAAAGCACAAUCCGACAAUCUACCGAAAUUAGAUGCAUUUAUGAUGACAGCAUAUUUUGCGUCUAAUUCCGAUUUUACAAGAGCAGAGAUCAGAGGAGUCUUAACGAGAAUCUUAUGGUGAUUCAGCAGUUUCGUCCCAGUAAAACGAGAUGGAGACAUAUGGGUUGUUAAGGCAUAAACAUUUCGUAAAACCUCAACAGGAAUAAAGUUUUUUAGAAAGUUGUAGCUACUGAACCUUCCUUAUACAUUUGGUUAAUUUUAAACCGAAUUUUCUCAAAACUUACUUUUUACUAAUUCACAAACUUACUGUAAUAAAUAAAGUAUACUAACGUUAAAAUGGUCUUCACAACGAUAUAAAAACGA